AUGAGGUUCCCUCCUCAGCUCCUGGGGUUGCUAAUGCUCUGCAUCUCUGGAUCCACUGGGGAUGUUGUGAUAACCCAGACUCCAUUCUCCCUACUCAUCACCCCUGGAAUGCCAGCCUCCAUCUCCUGCAGGUCCAGUCAGAGCCUGCUGCAGAGUAAAAGGAUGGCCUAUUUGCAUCGGUAUCUUGAGAAGCCAGGCCAGGCUCCACAGUUUCUGAACUACAGGCUUUCCAACUGGGCCUCUGGAGUCUCAGAUAGAUUCAGUGGCAGUGGAUCAGGGACAGAUUUCACACUGAACAUCAGCAGGGUGGAGGCUGAGGGUGCUGGAGUUUAUUUCUGUCAGCAAGGUUGGCAUGUUCCACCCACAGUGAUACAACCCCAAAUAUAA